GAUGAAGAACGCAGCGAAAUGCGAUAAGUAAAGUGAAUUGCAGAAUUCAGUGAACCAUCGAAUCUUUGAACGCACAUUGCGCCCGGCAGUAAUCUGCCGGGCAUGCCUGUCCGAGCGUCAUUUCUGCCCUCGAGCGAGUCCAGCAUCUAGGUGCUGGGCCCGCCCGGCGUUGGGGCACUACGGGAAGCCCUGUGCUGUCCCCCGUAGGCCCCGAAAUGAAGUGGCGGUCCUGCCGCGGCGCCCCCUGCGUAGUAUAACAGCUCGCUUCGGGACCCGGUGGAGGCCUGCCGUCAAACCUUACUCUCUAAGUUUGACCUCGGAUCAGGUAGGGUUACCCGCUGAACUUAAGCAUAUCAAUAAGCGGAGGA
rnacentral:misc_RNA from 1 species